AACAAACGCUGGCGGCGUGCCUAACACAUGCAAGUCGUACGAGAAAGUUUUCUUCGGAAGACGAGUAGAGUGGCGCACGGGUGAGUAACGCGUAAGUAAUCUGCCCUGGUAUCUGGGAUAACCCACCGAAAGGUGUGCUAAUACGGGAUACGCUGAUUUAUCAGGAAAGGUGGCCUCUUCAUGAAAGCUACUGUACCAGGAGGAGCUUGCGUACCAUUAGCUAGUUGGUAGGGUAAUGGCCUACCAAGGCGACGAUGGUUAGCGGGUCUGAGAGGAUGAUCCGCCACACUGGAACUGAAACACGGACCAGACUCCUACGGGUGGCUG
rnacentral:rRNA from 1 species